rnacentral:rRNA from 1 species
GCAACCCUUGUCCUUAGUUACCAGCACGUUAUGGUGGGCACUCUAAGGAGACUGCCGGUGACAAACCGGAGGAAGGUGGGGAUGACGUCAAGUCAUCAUGGCCCUUACGGCCUGGGCUACACACGUGCUACAAUGGUCGGUACAAAGGGUUGCCAAGCCGCGAGGUGGAGCUAAUCCCAUAAAACCGAUCGUAGUCCGGAUCGCAGUCUGCAACUCGACUGCGUGAAGUCGGAAUCGCUAGUAAUCGUGAAUCAGAAUGUCACGGUGAAUACGUUCCCGGGCCUU